rnacentral:tRNA from 1 species
GCCGGAGUGGCGGAACUGGCAGACGCGCCGGACUCAAAAUCCGGUGGCCGCAAGGCCGUGAAGGUUCAAUUCCUUUCUCCGGCACCA